GAGAAUGAUGGAGGGAUGAAAGAGGGUCAGAAUGAUGGAGGGAUGAUAGAGAAGAUGUCAGGUAAACUUGUGGUCGCAUGUAGUUCCUCUAAAGGCCUUUAGGUGGUUCACUCUAGACUCGAGACUAGAAUGUAGUUCCUCUGAUGCCUUUAUUACAACUGAUAGUCUAUGCAGUCUCCAUUUUAUAUGGGUCCAUAUUCAAAAUUCUAUACUCGAUAUUGUUUAUACUCUACACAGUCUAUACUCAACAAUCUCUGCUCAACAGUCUAUACAGUCUAUACUAAACAGUCUAUACAGUAUAUACUGAACUAUCUCUACUCAACAGUCUAUUCGGUCUACUCAACAGUCUAUACAAUCUCUACUCAACAGUCAAUACAGUAUAUACUCAACUAUCUACUCAACAGUCUAUUCAGUCUAUACUCAACAGUCUAUACAGUAUAUACUCAACAGCCUAUACCCAACAGUCUAUACUCAAGUCUAUACUUUAUAAAUCUGUACUCAACAGUCCAUGCUGGAUAUGGUUUAUAUUCUCAACAGUCUAUACUUGUGUCUAUACACAGUCUAUACUAGUGGUACACGAAAAAUAUAUUGACAAUAAAAUAUAAAGAAACAUUUAUAAUGGAAAAUAAAUACACUGUUCUUAUUCUAAAGUAAAGAUAGUAUUAUGCCUUGUAUUUCAGACAUAGUGCCAACCUUUGUGUGUUCCAUAAUAUGUUUUCAAGUGUUAUGUUUCAGAUUACUGUUAAUCUAGCUAGUUAAUUUGUGUGUUUUUUUUGUCAAAACACUUGGAGCAUAAUCUUUAAUCUUUUCCACCGUUUCCCACUGAUCAUUGCCUUGCAUUCUUGCAGUUAUAAUUGUGAAAAAAGGGGGCUAACCCUAACCAAACCCUUUUCACUUUUUUCUUCAACCACUACAUUUUAAUUUAUAUGUUUUUUACUGUUUCGUAUGAGGUGGUCCACGAAAGGUCUUGAUGACAAUUGAGUAGUAAACCUAAAGUUUGAGACGGUUGGGAAUCACUGGCCAUGACUCACAGUCUAUUCAGUCUGUACUCAAUGGUCUAUCAUCUAUGCAUACACUCAACAGUCUAAGCAGUCUAUGGUUUUUACACUCCUUACUCAACAGUCUAUACUUUAUACUCUACACUCAACUGUCCAAACAGUCUAUACUUUAUAACGUCUAUACUCAACAGUCUAAGCAGUCUGGGUUUUUUACACUCCUUACUCAACAGUCUAUACUUUAUAGUCUACACUCAACUCAAAGGGGACGAUCAAGACUGCUGAUUAUGAAGCUGGGGAUAUGGCCGUCUCCCUCUCUCUCCAGCCACGCUGUGCGGAGCGUUCCCUGCAGCCAGCUGACGUCACAGUAGGAAUGUCCGUCGGCGUGGAUCAGCCCGGGCGCCGCCAGGAGCGGAACGGCACGGAAUGUUUUACUUAGGCUAUAAAGUCCUUAAUUAUCAUUGUUUGGUUCUAUGCCGUUGAGAACAGGACGGAGGAGAACACAUCGAGAGAGGGGAAGAGGGACCGAGACGGGAGAGAAAAGUGGAAAGUUUCAUCUGGUCACCCUGAGUUGCACUUUUGCACAAAGGAGGUAUUGUCUGGACGGGACGUCAAUCUUGGGACCUGAGAAGGCUGUUGACGAGAGAGAGAGAGGGGGGAGAGAGAGAGAGAGAGAGAGAGAGAGAGAGAGAGAGCUAGAGAGAGACAUAGACAGCUAGUUAGUGUGGCUCAGUAUGUGUUGGUGUGUUUGAGUGUGUGUGCAAGAGUGUGUGAGAGAGAGAAAGAGAGAGAGACACACAGACCGCUAGCAAGUGUCUGUCAGUAUCUGUUAGUGUGCUUGUGUUUGUGAGGGAAAGAAGAAGAGACAAAGAUAGAGAAAGUGUGUGCGAGUAAAGGACAGAGACAGCGUGUGUGUGUGUGUGUGUGUGUGUGUGUGAGAGAUUGUGUGUGUUUGUGUUUGUGUGUGUGCAGAUGUGUUUGUGUGAGAGUGUGUGAUACACUGCUUGUGUGUGUGUGUGUCUGUGUGUGUUUGUCAGAGAGAGAAACCGAGGUUGUGUUUGCGUGUGUGUCCGACACAAAUUGUGUGCGUGUUAGGAUGAGCGUCACUAGGAGAAGCUUCGAGGUCAUCAGUGUGACAUCAGACUAUGCUGGGACACUGGCCGGCCAAUCUGGUUGCAGCUCUCAGGGAAACUCCUCCCAGCCAAGUAGCUCCUCCCUCCUCCGGAGCGCCUCACGUUUCAGAGUGAUCCGAUUGGCCACUGGGCGGGCGGAGCCCUAUUGCCGCGGGCGAUGGACUUGCAGGGACUUCCUGGAGAGUGAAGAGGGGGCGGGGCUUAGGAGGAUGAUGGAAAGCAUGAGACACGCCCACUCACUGGAGUCCCUGGACAUCAUCCGUCAGCUUCCUCUACGGAAAGGGGAGGGGCUUCAUGUUCUCGCCCAGAGACCAAUCAAAACGGAUAUGAGACCAUUCAGAGGCCUGCAGCCAAUCGGGCUGCCCCUUCUUGACUCUAUCCAGCCAAUAGAGGACUCCGCUCUGCCACCACGGCUACUCAAUAUCCCUGUUCUCCAAUUGGACACCAAUGCUCAGUCUGAGCGAGUGUGUCUCCGCCGACCUGAAGAUGGUUUGUUCAACCCCAGCCAAACAGUGUCCAUACUCGACCACACCAUGUUCAGCAUUUCAGCGGAAACCAGUGAUGCUGGUCUGGACCUGAACACCAUCGAUACCAAGAUCCAACAGGCCAUGGACCUGGUGAAGAGUCACCUCCAGCUGGCCAUCAGGGAGGAGAUGGCCGUCCUUCAACUGCAGAUCAGAGAUCUUCAGGACAAGAACAAUCAACUGCAGAGAGAGAACUACACUCUCAGGUCCCUGCUCAACAAACCCUGAUGCAGACAAGCAAUCUCGCACACCUACAUACAGGCACACGUCGUGCACCCACACACGCACACACGUGCACAUGCACACGCGCACACUCACACGCGCGCGCACACACGCACCCACACAAACACGCACACGCGCGCACACACAAACAUGCACACGCACGCACGUGCGCGCAAAGGCCCACGCACACACGCGGUGAUAUCAUAUGUUUGAAUUAUGUUUUAUGUCUGCUAUCACCAACAUUUAUAGUUCAGAAAUUAAUACUAUUAUAUAUGAAAUAUAAUAUGAUUGAUUUUGUUUGUAGUUAUUUUUAUAAAUUAAUUAUAUAAAUUUGGUUUGUAUAGUUUGCUUAAAAAAGAAUAAUAUAUAUUUGAUUUCUAUUGUUAGUUUAAUAAAUUAAAAUUAUACAUUUGGGUUGUUAAGUUUAAUCAUUUAUUAUAAAAAAUGUGUUUGCAUAGUAAGUAUUAAUGUAAAGGCCUUUGUUUAGUUAGUUAAAAAAAUAGAUAAUGUAAAUGUGUUUUAUAGUUUAAUAAAUUAUAAGAUACACAUUUUGUUGACAGUCAAACUUUAUUCAUUCCAUCUCAAUAUAACUCUCUAUAAUGAUAUUUAUAUUGUCUAAAACAUGGCUGCCUCCAAGUGGCCAAAAGAGACACUACACCUAACGAUCCGUAUCAAUAUAUAUAGAUUGGUAUGUGUAGUAAAUAUUGCAUCUAGAUAUGAUCCAUGUUAAUAUUAUAAAGAUACAUCAAUGUUAAUAUUGUAUAUAGAUACCUUCAAUAUGAAUAUAAGAUAUACUUUUAUCAAUAUUAAUCACAUUCAUAAAAGAUACUUCAAUAAUAAUAAAUAGAUACCAUUAAUCUAAAUAUUAUACCAUCAAUAACAAUUUAAUAUAGGGAUACAUCAAUAUUAUUAUCAUACCAUCAAUAUUAAUAGCAUGUAUAGAUACAUCAAUAUCAAUACAAAAAGAGAUACCAUGGAUAUUUAUAUAUCAAUAAUAUACAUAGAUCCCAUGAAGAUUCAUGCAUAGAUGCAUCAAUAUAAAUAAAAAUAUAGUUGCAUCAAUAUUUAUAUUAAAUGGAGACGCAUCGAUAUUAUUAUUGAGAUACAAAUAGAUGCAUCACCAGAGACACCGAUAUCCACUCAAACACAGACCCCCACACAGGGUAUUUGGGAUUAAGGUUUGUGGUUAGUGGAUGUAUUUCAUAGUCUGAUGGAGGUCACGUGGUGGAGGGUGGGGGUGGGAGGGGGGUGGGGCUGGCUAGUGUGUGUGUGGGGGGUGGGGGUGGGGGGGGGGGGGGGGUGACAUACUUACAGCCUCCUCGCAGGCUCUCACUCUCUCUCAGCCUCUCACCCUCUCUCACUCUCACCCUCUUUUCCUCUCUCUUCUCCCUCUCUCUCUUUCUCCAUCUAUUUUCUUCACUCUUAUUUGCCAACAUCACUUCCUCCAAAUCGUUUUCUCCUGGCCGUUAGUUCUCCAGCUUAUUGAUAUUGAAUCACUGGCCACUGGCUGUGAGCUAUCGAUCUAGUGGAUCCUGAAGACCAGCUCUGCCAUGUCAGGCAAGGACGAGCAGCAGAAGGACGCUGGCGGAUGGGACAACAUCUGGAACCCCAGGACCAAUGAGUUCCUUGGCAGGACCGCCAAAAGCUGGGGGCUGAUUCUGUCCUUCUACCUGGUGUUUUACCUAUAUCUUUAUCUGUGUGUCUCUAUAGGGCUGAUUCUGUCCUUCUACCUGGUGUUUUACCUAUAUCUUUAUCUGUGUGUCUCUAUAGGGCUGAUUCUGUCCUUCUACCUGGUGUUUUACCUAUAUCUUUAUCUGUGUGUCUCUAUAGGGCUGAUUCUGUCCUU